AUUGAACGCUAGCGGGAUGCCUUACACAUGCAAGUCGAGCGGAGUGGCGAACGGGUGAGUAAUGUCUCGGAACGUGCCCAGUAGCGGGGGAUAACUACGGGAAAGGGUAGCUAAUACCGCAUACUAUUGGAGCGGCCGAGAUCGGAUUAGCUAGUUGGUGGGGUAACGGCUCACCAAGGCGACGAUCCGUAGCUGGUUUGAGAGGACGAUCAGCCACACUGGGACUGAGACACGGCCCAGACUCCUACGGGAGGCAGCAGUGGGGAAGUUUGGACAAUGGGGGAAAGCCUGAUCCAGCCAUCCCGCGUGUGCGAUGAAGGUCUUCGGGUUGUAAAGCACUUUUGGUAGGAAAGCGGUACCUGCAGAAUAAGCACCGGCUAACUACGUGCCAGCAGCCGCGGUAAUAC
rnacentral:rRNA from 1 species